CUUAUAGGUGGAGCCUCCUCUCCACAUUUAGGUGUCUUUUCGUAAUUUUCUCCUCAAUCCGGCCCUCUUCUCACCCUCCUCAUCACUUUCCCUCCAAAAGCUCCAGCUGGUGGGGCAGCCUUUCUCUGAAAUGCUGGCAGAUGUGGGCCGGUGAAUAUGGGUGAUUCGUCACAUAAUCUCCCAGGUACUCUGCGUCUUCCACCCUCUGGACAGAUGGGUCUGUCUAGGAAGGACCAUGAGGUGAAUAUUACAUUAACGGAGAGAUGCUCAAUAUACUUUGUAAGAAAUUUGCAUAGAGUGUGCAAGUCAGGAAAGAAGCAGAAGAUUUCCUUCUAUGAUCCUGUUGUGAGCACAAGAUGGAACAGAGCUCCUAGCUGACACAUAGAGCGGAGCAAGAAAUAAAAAAUCAUGGUUUUAA